AUUCGGAUUCGGCAAAAAUUCGGUACGAAUAUUAUACACAUAAAAUUCGUUUUCUAAUUUUUAAAUUCGUUGAAAAAUUCGGCUUAAAAAACGGAUUUGGUAUAAAAUAUAAAAUAUAAGAUAUAAAAUAUAAGAUAAUUUAUAUUUAAAAAUAAAAAUUAUAAAUUUUUUAUUCAUAUUUUCAAUAAUUUAGCAAUAAUUCGUGAAUAAUUCACGAAAUAUUCGUGAAUAAUUCGGCUGGCCUAAAAAUUCGCGAAUAAUUCUCUUUUUUUGAAAAAAAAUUUGUAAACGGACCGUUUAAUUCGGAUUUUCAAUAAUUUGCGAAUGGAGAUU
rnacentral:lncRNA from 1 species